AUCAUUUCAUUUUCUGUUUAAUAAAUUCUCUCUCUAUUCUAGAGAGUUCUCAAACGCUCCUCCUUCUCUCCAGUUUCUCUCUCUAUAUUUUCCAUGAUUUCUCGGUCUAAUCUCAAUGUUUACAUGGUAUCAGAGCCUAGACAACGAUUCGACUGUGUUUAUCUAUAUCUCAUUGUCUUGGAUGAAGUCUGUUUCGAGAUUUUUGGGGGUGUUUCUGAGACCUUAUGGUCGAUGAUGAUUCCGACCUAAAUCGGAUGCUUUUCUGAGAUUUNN
rnacentral:lncRNA from 1 species